rnacentral:misc_RNA from 1 species
GGACACAGCUGGUCAAGAAAGGUAUGCAGCUCUUGCACCAUUAUACUACCGAGGUGCUGCAGUUGCAGUGGUUGUGUAUGAUAUAACUAGUCCUGAGUCUUUUGCCAAAGCACAAUACUGGGUCAAGGAACUGCAAAAACACGGGAGCCCUGAUAUAGUCAUGGCUCUGGUUGGCAACAAAGCCGAUCUCGACGAGAAAAGAGAAGUAACGACACAAGAUGGAAUUGACUGUGCUGAAAAGAAUGGCAUGUUCUUUAUAGAAACAUCUGCUAAGACAGCUGAUAAUAUCAACCAGCUGUUUGAGGAAAUCGCGAAGAGAUUGCCACGCCCUACUGUUGCUUGACCAUCAAGAUUAUGCUAAUUGCUACUGUACUGCCUGUAAUACUAUGUAUAUGAGGUCAUUCUCAGUCUCUUUUUCUCUGCAGUACUCUCUCUUGUUACGUUUCCUGAUCUCGUGAUCGCGAUCCUCUUCAACGAGGCAUCCUGAUAUAUAUAUAUAUAUAAACUGUGAGAAUUGAGGAGACUAAUUAACUCACUUCAACUUUGUGAAAGUUUGAAAUAUUUGAAUGGUUCAG